GGGGACACGGACACGGGACACCCGGUGGGACUCGCCCCGCGGGGAACGGCGCCGAGUUGGCGCUCAGAAACGCGAAGGCAGCUCUGAUUUAGGAUUUGGGAGUCUCUGAAGAGUCCCCAGCUGGGGCCUGCACUCCCGAGAGAUGCUGCCAGGAAGAUCGCACCGAGAAGCAGACAGGCUACCAACCCAAAUCUGCAAAAAGCUUUCCUACAAAGCUGUAGAAAUCAGACAAGAUGGGUGGUGUCAGGAGUCGGGUCAGGCACGGUGGCACUCGCUGAGACACCUCUGAUGGCUCCAGGAUGAGCCUGGCACUGCGAGACCUCUCUUCGCUUCCUGGUUUUGCCACAAAAUUUCAGGGUGAGCUGGGGCUGCUCGCUGGGCCUCUGGCUCUUCAGCCACAGAAAGGGACACACGGGAGCUUCAGUAACACCUGAGGUCCUUGCACAAACUGAGCGACACGGACGCAUCGGUCUGCUCUGGCUAGUUUUGGACUAUAAUGUAAUUUCACUCAUUGCCUGGCCAGAACUCAGGCAUUUGCCUGUGCAGUCACAUUUAAAUCUUUCCUUUUAUUCCUCACUGCAACACUUGAGCAUUAGUUAAAAGAUUUGAGCGACGCCACAUAAUCAUUACAGUGCAGCACUAAGGGUAAAUUCAUAAAAUGUAAUUGGGAAGAGAGAUCCUUGUGAGAAGUAAGUAACCCUGAGUGUCAAAUCAUUUUCUUCCAAAAGUGGUUGAGGCUAUCUAAGGAAAAAUGAAACAAAAAACUCCAGAACUCCCCAAAGCUUUGUUAACUAAACAGUUGUCCAUUAAAGAGACCAAAUAUUUCACAGCAUUAGUCUUUGGAUUAAUGUUAAAUUGAUAUGCACUAACGCAACAGGGCAAUAGUUACCAUGGUGAAUAAUUCUAUAUUUAUUUUCAAGCAAGCCUUAUUUCUAACAAUUCCAGACAUGGUUUCCACUUUCUGGUGACUAACCUCUUUUAAGUUUAUUUUUUUUAACUAUUUGGUACCAGAAACUCAAGUUUUCUCCCCGACAAUUAGAACAAGGUCGCUGCCACGACAGAGAACAAUGCUGGGCAGGGACGCAGAUGCUCGCCAGUUUUAGCUGAGGGCUUGUUUGCCUUUGAAAGUCAGAACAGCUACAUCUCGGGUACGAUUUAAAGCGUAGGAGAUACUGUGAAUUAAGUCUUUGGUAGACAAGCCCUCAUCCUUGUUUGGAACGGCAGGAGCAUCUUCCUUCCAAGGCUUCAUCCCAUUUGCUAAAGUGUCAAUAACCUACCUCAAACAAUAUUCCACCUAAAAGGCUCCGAAAUACCCUCCCUCCCCGGCACUGGGAGCCCCUCCUCAGCCCACCCACUCC